GACGAACGCUGGCGGCGUGCUUAACACAUGCAAGUCGAGCGGAAAGGCCCUGCUUGUGUCGGGUGCUCGCGUGGCGAACGCGUGUGUAGCCCGUGAGUCACCUUCCCUUUACUUUGUGAUAACUUCAAGAAACUGGUGCUAAUACCGGAUAGGUGCGCCUGCUGCAUGGGGGGCGUUGGACAGUUUCGGCGGUUGUGGAUCGACUCGCGGGUUAUCAGCUUGUGGGUGGGGUGGUGGCUUACCAGGGCUUUGACGGGUAGCCGGCCUGGGAGGGUGACCGGCGACAUGGGUACUAAGAUAGGGCACAGAGUCGAACGUGAGGCAGCAGUGGGAAAUAUUGCACAAUGGGGGCAAGUGUGAUAAAAAAAGGUCGCGAGCGGGAUGAAGGCCAUCGGGUGGGAAAAGGCAGUAGGUUGAGACGAAGCGUGAGUGACGUUAAUGAGAAAAGAAGCACCGGCUAACUACGUG
rnacentral:rRNA from 1 species